rnacentral:rRNA from 1 species
UACGGGGGGGGCAAGCGUUGUUCGGAAUUACUGGGCGUAAAGGGCUCGUAGGCGGCCAACUAAGUCAGACGUGAAAUCCCUCGGCUUAACCGGGGAACUGCGUCUGAUACUGGAUGGCUUGAGGUUGGGAGAGGGAUGCGGAAUUCCAGGUGUAGCGGUGAAAUGCGUAGAUAUCUGGAGGAACACCGGUGGCGAAGGCGGCAUCCUGGACCGACAUUGACGCUGAGGAGCGAAAGCCAGGGGAGCAAACGGG